rnacentral:rRNA from 1 species
GACGAACCGUACAAACGUUAUUCGGAAUCACUGGGCGUAAAGGGUGCGUAGGCGGUCGGGUAAGUCUGAUGUGAAAUCUCACAGCUUAACUGUGAAACUGCAUUGGAUACUAUCCGGCUCGAGGAAUGGAGGGGAGACUGGAAUACUUGGUGUAGCAGUGAAAUGCGUAGAUAUCAAGUGGAACACCAGUGGCGAAGGCGAGUCUCUGGACAUUUCCUGACGCUGAGGCACGAAAGCCAGGGGAGCAAACGGG